AUCUACCAGCUAACCGUUCUUAAAGAG
rnacentral:sRNA from 1 species